GACGAACGCUGGCGGCGUGCUUAACACAUGCAAGUCGAACGGAAAGGCCUCUUUCGGGGGGUACUCGAGUGGCGAACGGGUGAGUAACACGUGAGUAACCUGCCCUUGACUUUGGGAUAACUUCAGGAAACUGGGGCUAAUACCGGAUAGGAGCUCCUGCUGCAUGGUGGGGGUUGGAAAGUUUCGGCGGUUGGGGAUGGACUCGCGGCUUAUCAGCUUGUUGGUGGGGUAGUGGCUUACCGAGGCUUUGACAGGUAGACGGACAGAGAGGGUGACCGGCGCAAUUGGGACUGAGAUACGGCCCAGAUUCCUAGGGGAGGCAGCAGUGGGGAAAGAUGCACAACGGGUGGAAGCCUGAUGCAGCAAAGCCGUGUGCGGGAUGACGGUCUUCGGGUUGUAAAUCGCUUUCGCUCAUGACGAAGCUUUGUGUGACGGUAGUGGGUAAAGAAGCACCGGCUAACUACGUG
rnacentral:rRNA from 1 species